AUGGCAUCCCACGCGAUCGAGAUCUCGAAAGGUGCGGAAGGCCAUGACAAGAUCCACCAAAUCCUCUUCCAACUUGAGGAAGCCGUUGUUCAGCACGGGGCCAUCUCUGGGGCUCAGGCCAUCUCGCUCAGGCCUUCCCGAGACAAUGGGUGUCAUGAUCGCCAUGUUAGUGGCCAUCGAGUUGAGGACCCUGACCCUCAAGAUCAAGACGAUCAUCCUCAAGACGAUGACAUCGCCUACAUGGGAUCGAGAGCUUAUGGCACCUGCACCCGCAAUGUCAAGUUCCUGGAACGCUUUCGGCCCUAUGGUGUGGACAAGUACACUGACGAGGCCAGACCCAACAUCUGGCUCGCGAACUGUACUACACCACAUGCGUCAUUGUCGGGGGGCAACGAUUUGCAUGGCUGUGAGAUACCUUCCUCUUCAUCUGGUCGUGAUAAGAACGGCCAGAAUAGAAGAAGUCAAACGGUUGCAAACGCAGCCUAUGGGUCACAUGCAAGCAGGAAAAUAUCCAAACCUCGGCCGAUAGGAGGAGCAAACAGUACGUCGCCCAACGACAAACACCACCACCGGCGACAAAGCUGGAUGAACCAGAAGCUGCAAAGCGAAGAGACCAAAGGAGAAUUCCCUCAAGAAGACACGCCUAAAACUGAAGAUUUCAUGCAAAGGACAAAGGAUAAAAAGCAGAGAAUUAACCAGUUGCAGAAUUUACUUGGUAGGCUUGGUCCAGUUAGUUAUAGGAACUUUAUGAUGCUGCACGAUUACACGGCUAAUGGCCUAGACCAGUUAGUUAGGCUUGGUCCAGUAGUUAGGAUGCCAACCUGCACCCUGGACCUGGAGGCAUCCGGCGGCGAGAGUGUGAGGAACGUGCCACCAGGUCGGUGCAAGUAG
rnacentral:rRNA from 1 species